UCCAGGAAGACUUGACGGCUUUGGGA
rnacentral:piRNA from 1 species